ACUCUCUUACCUGGACUUCUGAUGCAGACCAACAGUUUAUCAGCUUGAAACAAUUUCUGUCCUCUACGGCCUCGUUGGCAAUUCCAGACUACAUCAAAAUGUUCUUUCUUGAUGUGUCUGAAAAAUCAAGCAGUGUAUCUGCUGUGCUUUUUCAGAAAAGGGGAGAUAGUGAACGAUACACUUGCUUGUAUGCAUCCACUCCACUUGACAAAUAUGAACAACGACAUCCUUUAUGUGCGGCUUUUGCCUCAGCUCUUGCUCGGCUCGUUCAGAAAACAUCGUACAUAGUUUUACAUCAUCCACUCACUAUCCGCACAUCACACAGCACUGUACAAUACGUCACAAGCCAGGCAUUCACCAUGACAGGAGGGAGACAAAGAAAAUCGAGACAAUACUAACCCAACCCCACAUCUUGUUUACACACGAAGGUGUAAACAAUAUGGCGGAAGGAAUGAUGGAAGGAAAACCACACUGCUGCACACUGCGGAGAGUGGACGAAAACACGCACAGAGAACUGAAUGAGACACCAUUGAAUAAUCCAGACAUGAUACCGUUUACAGAUGGGUGUUGCUUCAAAGGAGAACAAGGACUCCAGUCGGGAUUCGCUGUGACACGAAUGGCGGAUGACGACUUCACGGCAGUUCUGGAAAGGAAGUGGUCGGAACCAAGGUGGGCGGGUCAAUACAAGGUGACGGAGAGAACUUCAUCUGCUGCUCGCCUGCAAGGAAAGAGGGACACGUGGUUCCACUUGACGUCUACCAGACCAACUCGAGGCCCAACACGGAUCAGCUUCCAUCACAUCAACAGCCAGAGAGACCAGCCUGGGACGACUACAACGCCUGACGACUUUGAAGCUCGACGAAUCCUGAACAGAGCCAGACGAUUCCAGAUUGAACCCAACUACAGACAACGCAAGAGCAACUCCCACCCAGGAAAACUGCAAUCCAACAGUAGCUGACCUCACAUCGAA